rnacentral:rRNA from 1 species
AACGUAGGUGGCAAGCGUUAUCCGGAAUUACUGGGCGUAAAGGGUGUGCAGGCGGGGUGGCAAGUGGUGUAUGAAAUCUCCCAGCUUAACUGGGAUAGGUUAUGCCAGACUGCUACUCUAGAGGACGAGAGAGGGGCGUGGAAUUCCGGGGUGUAGUGGUGAAAAUGCGUAGAGAUCCGGAGGAACCCCAGAGGCGAAGGCGACGCCCUGGCUCGUACCUGACGCUCAGCCACGAAAGCAUGGGGGAGCGAACGGGG